AUUGAACGCUGGCGGCAUGCUUUACACAUGCAAGUCGAACGGUAACGCGGGGGCAACCCUGGCGACGAGUGGCGAACGGGUGAGUAAUACAUCGGAACGUGUCCUGGAGUGGGGGAUAGCUCGGCGAAAGCCGGAUUAACACCGCAUACGCUCUGAGGAGGAAAGCGGGGGACCUUCGGGCCUCGCGCUGCGGGAGCGGCCGAUGUCGGAUUAGCUAGUUGGUGGGGUAAAGGCCCACCAAGGCGACGAUCCGUAGCUGGUCUGAGAGGAUGAUCAGCCACACUGGGACUGAGACACGGCCCAGACUCCUACGGGAGGCAGCAGUGGGGAAUUUUGGACAAUGGGGGCAACCCUGAUCCAGCCAUGCCGCGUGAGUGAAGAAGGCCUUCGGGUUGUAAAGCUCUUUCGGACGGAACGAAACGGUUACGGUGAAUAAUCGUGACUAAUGACGGUACCGUAAGAAGAAGCACCGGCUAACUACGUGCCAGCAGCCGCCGUAA
rnacentral:rRNA from 1 species